CCUACGGGAGGCAGCAGUGAGGAAUAUUGGUCAAUGGACGAGAGUCUGAACCAGCCAAGUAGCGUGAAGGAUGACUGCCCUAUGGGUUGUAAACUUCUUUUAUAUGGGAAUAAAAUGUUCCACGUGUGGGAUUUUGUAUGUACCAUAUGAAUAAGGAUCGGCUAACUCCGUGCCAGCAGCCGCGGUAAUCCGGAGGAUCCGAGCGUUAUCCGGAUUUAUUGGGUUUAAAGGGAGCGUAGGUGGAUUGUUAAGUCAGUUGUGAAAGUUUGCGGCUCAACCGUAAAAUUGCAGUUGAUACUGGCAGUCUUGAGUACAGUAGAGGUGGGCGGAAUUCGUGGUGUAGCGGUGAAAUGCUUAGAUAUCACGAAGAACUCCGAUUGCGAAGGCAGUUCACUGGACUGCAACUGACACUGAGGCUCGAAAGUGUGGGUAUCAAACAGGAUUAGAUACCCCUGUAGUC
rnacentral:rRNA from 1 species